GAUGAACGCUGGCGGCGUGCUUAACACAUGCAAGUCGAGCGAAGCGCUAAAGCGGAUUUCUUCGGAUUGAAGUUUUAGUGACUGAGCGGCGGACGGGUGAGUAACGCGUGGGUAACCUGCCUCAUACAGGGGGAUAACAGUUGGAAACGGCUGCUAAUACCGCAUAAGCGCACAGUACCGCAUGGUACGGUGUGAAAAACUCCGGUGGUAUGAGAUGGACCCGCGUCUGAUUAGGUAGUUGGUGGGGUAACGGCCUACCAAGCCGACGAUCAGUAGCCGACCUGAGAGGGUGACCGGCCACAUUGGGACUGAGACACGGCCCAAACUCCUACGGGAGGCAGCAGUGGGGAAUAUUGCACAAUGGGGGAAACCCUGAUGCAGCGACGCCGCGUGAGCGAAGAAGUAUUUCGGUAUGUAAAGCUCUAUCAGCAGGGAAGA
rnacentral:rRNA from 1 species